rnacentral:rRNA from 1 species
CCUACGGGAGGCUGCAGUGAGGAAUAUUGGUCAAUGGACGAGAGUCUGAACCAGCCAAGUAGCGUGAAGGAUGACUGCCCUAUGGGUUGUAAACUUCUUUUAUAUGGGAAUAAAACGUUCCACGUGUGGGAUUUUGUAUGUACCAUAUGAAUAAGGAUCGGCUAACUCCGUGCCAGCAGCCGCGGUAAUACGGAGGAUCCGAGCGUUAUCCGGAUUUAUUGGGUUUAAAGGGAGCGUAGGUGGAUUGUUAAGUCAGUUGUGAAAGUUUGCGGCUCAACCGUAAAAUUGCAGUUGAAACUGGCAGUCUUGAGUACAGUAGAGGCGGGCGGAAUUCGUGGUGUAGCGGUGAAAUGCUUAGAUAUCACGAAGAACUCCGAUUGCGAAGGCAGUUCACUGGACUGCAACUGACACUGAGGCUCGAAAGUGUGGGUAUCAAACAGGAUUAGAUACCCUAGUAGUC